UAGGGAAUCUUCCACAAUGGACGAAAGUCUGAUGGAGCAACGCCGCGUGAGUGAUGAAGGGUUUCGGCUCGUAAAACUCUGUUGUUGGAGAAGAACGGGUGUCAGAGUAACUGUUGACAUCGUGACGGCAUCCAACCAGAAAGCCACGGCUAACUACGUGCCAGCAGCCGCGGUAAUACGUAGGUGGCAAGCGUUGUCCGGAUUUAUUGGGCGUAAAGCGAGCGCAGGCGGUUUUUUAGGUCUGAUGUGAAAGCCUUCGGCUUAACCGGAGAAGUGCAUCGGAAACCGGGAGACUUGAGUGCAGAAGAGGACAGUGGAACUCCAUGUGUAGCGGUGAAAUGCGUAGAUAUAUGGAAGAACACCAGUGGCGAAGGCGGCUGUCUGGUCUGCAACUGACGCUGAGGCUCGAAAGCAUGGGUAGCGAACAGGAUUAGAUACCCUGGUAGUCCAUGCCGUAAACGAUGAGUGCUAAGUGUUGGAGGGUUUUCCGCCCUUCAGUGCUGCAGCUAACGCAUUAAGCACUCCGCCUGGGGAGUACGACCGCAAGGUUGAAAC
rnacentral:rRNA from 1 species